rnacentral:rRNA from 1 species
CCGCACGGGUGAGUAACACGUAUCCAACCUGCCGUCUACUCUUGGCCAGCCUUCUGAAAGGAAGAUUAAUCCAGGAUGGCAUCAUGAGUUCACAUGUCCGCAUGAUUAAAGGUAUUUUCCGGUAGACGAUGGGGAUGCGUUCCAUUAGAUAGUGGGCGGGGUAACGGCCCACCUAGUCAACGAUGGAUAGGGGUUCUGAGAGGAAGGUCCCCCACAUUGGAACUGAGACACGGUCCAA